CAACAUGUGAUACCAUGCCAACCUCCCCAAGAAUGUGGCUGAGUUUCAAAUGCUCUUGGGGAGAGACAGUUGUGUUUGGGGUGUGUCUAUUUAAUCUCAAGAAAUGCUAGAGCUGGUUACCGGUCAGCAGCUCUGAUUUUGUGUGCCGGGUGUUUACCAAAGGAAACAUUUCAUACGUCCAGGUAGAGAGAAGAAACCACAGACUUCUGUGCCAGCAACGCUGGGAAUGUGGGCAUGGUUGACAAGUUCUGGAGACUAACACUUGUCAGGGCUUCCCACAACUCCACUGCUUUCUUAAAAAGAAACCAACCUUGCGAAGUUCAUGCCCACUGGAAAGUAUGUAACUUCUCCUUUUCUUAAGGCUCCACCUAAGUUGGUGCCUAUAGCCGUGCUGUAACCAUUUCCUGACAGACUCCAGUUCCGUUCACAGUGACUAGUCUUCUCCACAGUGCAGUUGGAAGGUCCCCAUUGGCAGUGGAGCUAAACCUCACUGGGGUGAGAGUCUGUGCCUCCAGUGCUGCUGACUUUCCCGUGUUUCUGACUUCCAGUAAGUACCACCACGUCCAUCAUCCAGACUAAGGCUUACCAAACGCGACAUCAUCCAAGUCCUCUGCUUCUUGGUGACGUCACCAGAUCCAUCACUUGACUUCAAGAGAAAGUUGAAUUAAGUGAAAACAGAGCAGAGCAGCUCAGAGAGAGGCUGAAAUGAGUCCUGGGAGCCCAGGCUUUCCCACAGGGCUCUGGGCCGAAUGAAGACACCCCCACCAGGCCAUCAGCAUCCGAGUGUCAUCCCUGCUCGGCUCUGUAGUUUAAAUGGAGAGAGGCUCCAGGAAGGCCCAUACUCCCUAAGCCACAAGUAACUCCCCCAUGGAAGUGGCCUAAUGUCCACUGUCCCUCAUUUGGGGCAGUAUAUAUUUGAUUGUGCUCCUUUCCUGCUGUUCUUUCUCUUUGUCUGGUUUGAAAAUGCCACACACAGUCCUGGAUUCUGGGCAUUUUUAGCAUGAUCAUUUUUCAAGUGCAUAAGACGUGUUCUUGCUGAAGCUCAUUUCUCCAUGCCUAGUAAAGCAUUUUAUCGUC